rnacentral:rRNA from 1 species
CCUACGGGAGGCAGCAGUAGGGAAUCUUCCACAAUGGGCGAAAGCCUGAUGGAGCAACGCCGCGUGGGUGAAGAAGGUCUUCGGAUCGUACAACCCUGUUGUUAGAGAAGAAAGUGCGUGAGAGUAACUGUUCACGUUUCGACGGUAUCUAACCAGAAAGCCACGGCUAACUACGUGCCUGCAGCCGCGGUAAUACGUAGUGGGCAAGCGUUAUCCGGAUUUAUUGGGCGUAAAGGGAACGCAGGCGGUCUUUUAAGUCCGAUGUGAAAGCCUUCGGCUUAACCGGAGUAGUGCAUUGGAAACUGGGAGACUUGAGUGCAGAAGAGGAGAGUAGAACUCCAUGUGUAGCGGUGAAAUGCGUAGAUAUAUGGAAGAACACCAGGGGCGAAAGCGGCUCUCUGGUCUGUAACUGACGCUGAGGUUCGAAAGCGUGGGGAGCAAACAGGAUUAGAUACCCCUGUAGUC